rnacentral:rRNA from 1 species
AACGAACGCUGGCGGCAUGCCUAACACAUGCAAGUCGAACGAGACCUUCGGGUCUAGUGGCGCACGGGUGCGUAACGCGUGGGAACCUGCCCUUAGGUUCGGAAUAACUCCCCGAAAGGGGUGCUAAUACCGGAUGAUGUCUUCGGACCAAAGAUUUAUCGCCUUUGGAUGGGCCCGCGUUGGAUUAGCUAGUUGGUAGGGUAAAAGCCUACCAAGGCGACGAUCCAUAGCUGGUCUGAGAGGAUGAUCAGCCACACUGGGACUGAGACACGGCCCAGACUCCUAGGGGGGGCAGCAGGGGGGAAUUUUGGAAAAUGGGCGAAAGCCUGAUCCAGCAAUGCCGGGUGAGGUAUGAAGGCCUUGGGGUUUUAAAGCUUUUUUACCCGGGAUGAAAAUGACAGUACCGGGAGAAUAAACCCCGGCUAACCCCGU